AACGAACGCUGGCGGCAGGCCUAACACAUGCAAGUCGAGCGCCCAGCAAUGGGAGCGGCGGACGGGUGAGUAACGCGUGGGAAUUUUUCCUGGAGUACGGAACAACCGAGGGAAACUUCGGCUAAUACCGUAUGAUGUCUAGCGACCAAAGAUUUAUCGCUCUGGGGUAAGCCCGCGUCAGAUUAGGUAGUUGGUGGGGUAACGGCCUACCAAGCCUGCGAUCUGUAGCUGGUCUGAGAGGACGAUCAGCCACACUGGGACUGAGACACGGCCCAGACUCCUACGGGAGGCAGCAGGUGGGGAAUCUUGCGCAAUGGGCGAAAGCCUGACGCAGCCAUGCCGCGUGAGUGAAGAAGGUCUUAGGAUUGUAAAGCUCUUUCGCUCGUGACGAUGAUGAACGGUAACGAGAGAAGAA
rnacentral:rRNA from 1 species